GCUGGGCGUGGUGGUGAGCGCCUGUAGUCCCAGCUACCUGGGAGGCUGAGGCAGGGGAAUUGCUUGAACCCAGGAGACAGAGGUUGCAGUGAGCUGGGAGUGCGCCACUGCCCUCUAGCCUGGGCGACAGAGCAAGACUCCGUCUCAA
ensembl:misc_RNA Metazoa_SRP Metazoan signal recognition particle RNA